AAGGAAAUAGUUAUUUCAUAAUGUCUGGUUUGCAAUCAGAAGGUAUCAAAAGAUUUUUCUUA
rnacentral:tRNA from 1 species